rnacentral:rRNA from 1 species
CUACGGGAGGCAGCAGUGGGGAAUAUUGCACAAUGGGCGCAAGCCUGAUGCAGCCAUGCCGCGUGUAUGAAGAAGGCCUUCGGGUUGUAAAGUACUUUCAGCGGGGAGGAAGGGAGUAAAGUUAAUACCUUUGCUCAUUGACGUUACCCGCAGAAGAAGCACCGGCUAACUCCGUGCCAGCAGCCGCGGUAAUACGGAGGGUGCAAGCGGUAAUCGGAAUUACUGGGCGUAAAGCGCACGCAGGCGGUUUGUUAAGUCAGAUGUGAAAUCCCCGGGCUCAACCUGGGAACUGCAUCUGAACUGGCAAGCUUGAGUCUCGUAGAGGGGGGUAGAAUUCCAGGUGUAGCGGUGACAUGCGUAGAGAUCUGGAGGAAUACCGGUGGCGAAGGCGGCCCCCUGGACGAAGACUGACGCUCAGGUGCGAAAGCGUGGGGAGCAAACAGGAUUAGAUACCCCAGUAGUC